rnacentral:tRNA from 1 species
GUUUCUAUAGUUAAAUAUGUAUAACGGCGGUUUUUCAGGCCGCGGUUCUCAGAGGAAAGCUGAGUAGAAAUA